UACGUAGGGGGCUAGCGUUGUCCGGAAUCAUUGGGCGUAAAGCGCGCGUAGGCGGCCAGAUAAGUCCGGUGUGAAAGUCACAGGCUCAACCUGUGAAUGCCGCUGGAAACUGUCUGGCUAGAGUCCGGAAGGGGCGAGUGGAAUUCCUGGUGUAGCGGUGAAAUGCGCAGAUAUCAGGAGGAACACCAAUGGCGAAGGCAGCUCGCUGGACCAGUACCGACGUUCAGGCACGAAAGCGUGGGGAGCAAACAGG
rnacentral:rRNA from 1 species